rnacentral:sRNA from 2 species
GAACGCAACUUAUUAGGAGCGACAGCGAUUGGGCCUCCAUGUCAAACUUUCUCUGAAUCAGUAUUCUAGACGAAACCCAGUCCUGGUGGGAAGAAAAGGAAAAAGGAAAACCUAUUCACAAAUUUUGAUUCAGCUUGAAGUCAAAUCAAGACAAACCAUAAUGCCCCUUGGCUCCGAUAGCAUCAGAAAAACAGGGAUUGAUUGCCCCGUUCCGAGUUUCGAGACAAUUACACAUCAGAAAUGCCUUGAAGAAUCACCGUUUCUCUCAGUUCCAACUUAUGCGAAGCCAUUGGGGAAGCCAGUUUGACAUUGAUGGAUCCAGAACUGUGUAUUGACAAUCAUGCAAGUUUUGAAGCUUAUUUCUUGAAUAUGGGAAUUUUCAGGGACUUGGAAGCCACCACAAAGGACGAAAAAAAAAGAAAAGAAAUCACGCAACCAACCC